rnacentral:sRNA from 1 species
AUAUUGUUGUUGAUCCUGCAAGGAACAACCUAACCCAAGUGAAGAUUAGCACAAAAGAGCUAAUAACAUUGUGUGAAGUAGAAAUUUAUGGAGAAUGCCCAGCUGGUACAUAUACUACAACAGAUCUUCAAUGUACCAACUGUCCAAUAAAAUGUGCCAACGUUUGCGAUCAGGAUAGUGGGCUAUGUUUCGACUGUAAUGGUUACAGUGACCCACCUAAUUGUACUAACGAAUGUACAUUGGGUCGAUACGGUAUAAACUGUAUGCAAACGUGUGAAAGUUGUGUUAAGAGUAAAUGUGAUCGUGUAUCUGGAUUUUGUCCACUAUGUA